rnacentral:ncRNA from 1 species
UAAUAAAGUUUUAUUUUAGCUUAAAAAAUUUAUUAUUAAUUUAUAUUAUAUGUAAAUUUUUGUGUGAAUUUUUAUUUAUUUAAAAAGUAAAUAUUUUUAUUUAUUUACAGUAAUUAAUAUUAUAAAUUAAAGAGAUUUAGAAAUAGAAAUAUUAAUUAAUAUUGACUUAAUUUGUGCCAGCAGUUGCGGUUAUACAAAUAAUAUGAGUAAAUUUUAUUAAUUAAAGUUAAAUUGUUUUAUUAUAAAUAUAAAAUAAAUUAUUAGGUGAAAUUUUAAUUUAUUAAUUUUUAAAUUAAAAUUAAUUGAAACUUGAAAAUUUUAAUUAAAAACUAGGAUUAGAUACCCUAUUAUUUAAAAUGAAAACUUAAUUGUUUGAGUAGUAAUAGAUAUGAUCUUGAAACUUAAAAAAUUUGGCGGUAUUUUAGUCUAUUCAGAGGAACUUGUUAUAUAAUCGAUAAUCCACGAUGUACCUUACUUAAAUUUGUUAAUCAAUUUAUAUACCGUUGUUAUUAGAAUAUUUUAUAAGAAUAAUAAUUUUCUAUAAUUUUUAUUAAAAUUAAUAUCAAAUCAAGGUGUAGUUUAUAUUUAAGAAUUAAUGAGUUACAAUAAAAUUUAUUUAUAUGAAUUUAAAUAUGAAAAAUUUAAUGAAAUUGGAUUUGAUUGUAAAAUUAUAAAGAUAAAUAAUUUGAUUUUAGCUCUAAAAUAUGUACAUAUCGCCCGUCGCUCUUAUUAUUAAAGUAAGAUAAGUCGUAACAUAGUAGAUGUACUGGAAAGUGUAUCUGGAAU